AGAUGCCAUGCCUCAUGUCAAGGGUCUUGACAUACUAAAUGACUGUGAGGAGAACCAGAAGCUCAUUCAUAAACUACCAGACUGGGUAGCUUCACGCUGGAACCGACAAGUCACACAAAGCCUGAACGAGAAAGAAGAAUUCCCAAGUUUCAAGGACUUUGCUAGAUUCACGACAACCGAAGCUGAGAUUGCCUGCAAUCCGAUUACGUCUCUUCAUGCCCUUCGGUCAUCAGACCCUAGCACUGAGAAGAGAAAUCUCAGAGACACGAAGAGAAACAAGGCCAGUGUGCUCCCCACUCAAACAGUCACCGAUAAAGGGAACCAAAGGUCAGAUCAGAGAAAAGCUAAAAAUCCAUGCAUUCUCUGUCAAGAUAAUAGACACCAGCUUCAUGCAUGUUCCAAGUUCACAGAGAUGUCGCUGGUUGAGCGACGGAACUAUGUGAAGGAGAAGAGACUCUGCUAUGGAUGCCUAAAACUUGGCCACAGUGCAAAAGACUGUCGUUAUCGUCACUUCUGUGACUCCUGCAAGGGAAAGCACCCUACAGCCCUCUAUGAUGACAGCUAUGGAAAGGAAAGUUCUUCAUCAGGAACAUGGGCAAAUCAAGGUGCUGCUGCAAUGUCACUCAGUGUAGCAGGCGCAGGCUCAUCCAAUACAUCAAUGGUGAUACCAGUGUGGGUGUCAUCCAAAAAUAAUCCAAAUGCUGAGAAACUUGUCUAUGCUCUACUUGACACUCAACGUGACACUACAUUCAUUGAUCAAGGAGUGAGCGACGGUCUUAAUGCCGACAAGUAUCCAGUUAAGCUGAAGUUGACUACCAUGAGUGGAAAGGACAUGGUUCUCACAAGUGAGAGAGUUUCUGGCCUUCGUGUAAGGGGAUACAGUUCUGCCAUUCAAGUUGACCUUCCGGUGGCAUACACGAAGGUCUGCGUACCAGUAAACCGUGCUCACAUUCCAGGCAGGUCAUUCUAGGAGGAGAUGAGGAACCCUAUGCUGUACGGACAGAUUUAGAGUAUUGUGGGGCGCUCAUCACAAAGCCAUGACUCGCUGAGCACAAGUCGUCUGUGUCACAGAAUCGCUGUUAAAGAGCUGCCUCCGGCAACUCCUGCCGAUGUUAUUCAUAUCUUAGAAUCUGACUUCAAGGAUGGCAGUGAAGACAGCAGAACAGUGUCACAAGACGACAUCACAUUUCUCAACAAGCUGGAUAUAGGCAUACGGAAAAAUAUACAUGGCCAUUACGAAAUGCCUCUGCCCUUCAAAACCAGACCCAGCUUGCCUGACAACAAAGGCUCAGCCAUGAUACGUCUCAAUCACCUCAAAAGGAAAUUGCAGCGUGACGAACGGUAUAAGGAGCAUUAUGUUGAGUUCAUGGAAGAGGUCAUCAAAAGGGGAGAUGCAGAGCAGAUCAACGACGGUGGGAGAGAAGGUGAGAGAUGGUACAUCCCCCAUCAUGGAGUUUACCAUGCAAAGAAGCCGGAGAAACUUUGUGUGGUGUUCGAUUGCUCGGCCAGAUACAAAGGAACCAGCCUGAAUGACCACCUCCUCUCUGGGCCCGACAUGCUGAACAACUUGAGUGGAGUUCUCAUCCGCUUUCGAAAGCACCCUGUUGCACUAAUGUGUGACAUUGAAAAAAUGUUCCAUCAGUUCCAUGUGGCUGACGCUGAUCGCAACUAUCUGCGCUUUCUUUGGUGGAAGCAAGGAGACUUGAACUCACCACCUACUGAGUUCCGUAUGAAGGUGCAUCUGUUUGGUGCAGCCUCCUCUCCUGGAUGCGCAAACUACGGGCUGAAGCAUCUGGCUAAGGAGCAUGACGACAUCUACCCUCAAGGCUCACGGUUUAUCAUGAGGGACUUCUACGUGGACGACGGGCUCACAAGUGUUGGAAGCACCGAAGAUGCUAUUCAGCUUGCCAGAGAAGCACGUGAACUCUGUGCCAUGGGUGGCCUCAGACUACAUAUGUUUGUGUCAAACGACAGAGAUGUCCUAGAGAGUAUACCACUCUCUGAACGGGCAACCUAUAUGAAGUGUAUGGACCUCACGUUUGAUGAUCUGCCACCAGAGAGAGCUCUAGGGAUUAAAUGGGACGUGGAGUCCGACCACUUCUGCCUUAACGUCAGCCUGAAGGAUCAGCCUGUAACACGCCAAGGCAUCCUGUCUACAGUGGCCUCUCUGUACGAUCCUCUAGGGUUUGUGGCGCCAGUCCUGCUUAAAGGCAAGAUCAUUCUCCAGGCCAUGUGUAGGCGCGGCACAGGUUGGGACGAUCCUCUCACAGACGAGCUUCGUCCAAAAUGGGAACAGUGGAGAGGCGACCUAGCUCAUUUGGAUAAUGUCACUAUAUCCUGCACUUACUCACCUGUUGGAUUUGGAAGGGUCUCAAAGACAGAGCUGCAUCAUUUUUCAGAUGCCAGCACAAAGGGUUAUGGUCAGUGUUCAUACGUGAGACUUCAAAAUGAAGAGGGAGAUGUUCAUUGCGCCCUAGUAGUAGGAAAAUCACGCGUCUCACCAACAAAGGUCACAACUAUUCCACGAUUGGAAUUGACAGCUGCAGUUGUUUCUGUGAAAAUGAGCAACAUGCUCAAAGAGGAGUUUGGAUCUACUGAUGCUGAGGAGUUCUUCUGGACCGACUCUAAAGUGGUUUUGGGAUAUAUAAAAAACGAAGCACGACGAUUCCACACCUUUGUGGCUAACCGUGUUCAAAGUAUUCAUCUCAGCUCCGCCCCUCAACGAUGGAGAUACGUCCCCAGCAACGAGAAUCCUGCUGACCACGCUUCUAGGGGCUUGACUCCCAGUGAGCUUCUUAGCUUUCUUGCAGAGAAACAAUGCGACUUCAGCAUGAACGCACCGUAUUCAAGUCAUGUCGGAGGGGUGUGGGAAAGACAGAUCAGAACAGUGAGAAGCAUCCUACGGUCCACCCUUAGCCUUUCCUCCGGUAGGCUAAAUGAUGCUUCGCUACGGGCUUUCCUCUAUGAAGCUAUGGCAAUUGUCAACAGUCGCCCACUGACCGUUACCAGCCUCAGUGAUCCCCAUAGCCUCGAGCCUCUCACACCUAAUCACCUUCUGACUAUGAAAUCUGCCAAGGCUCUACCCCCACCAGGAGAAUUUAGCAGAGAGGACAUGUAUGGCAAGAAAAGGUGGCGACAUGUUCAAUACCUGGCAGAACAGUUUUGGAGUCUUUUGGAGGCGAAAGGAAUACCUUGCCAGCAUCGCACUCAGACAGCGUUGGCACACCCCCAGAAGAAAUCUGCAAGUUGGAGAUAUUGUAAUGAUGAAGGGAGAUGAUGUGCACAGGAACGAGUGGAGAUUGGGUAGGGUCUCAGGAACCACUACUGAUAAAGACGGACUAGUGAGAAGAGUUAAGGUCUGCCUUGGGGACAGGAAGCUUGGCAUAAGGGGGGAGCUUCUCCAUAAGAUGUCCGAAGUCGAGCGCCCAGUCCAGAAGCUAGUCUUGCUGCUGGAAACGAGCUAAAUCUGCUCUCUCUCUCUUUCGGUCACCAUAGACUCUCCUCAUAACUCGUAGUCUUAAAUAGUUUUUAAUGGUUUUCUACUUGUGACAUAAGCUAUCUGUGUUUUAUAUAGGAAAUGUCAUUUUCAGUUUAAAAUCAUUCGUUCUUAAUGUGAACUGUAUACCGUUCCAUUAUUCCCUCAUGAUUGGUGGGAGUGUAAAGGAUUCCUAUAAAAGUCUGAGUGAAGUAGCAACUUCCUGUGAGACUUUUAUUUUGAAGCCCUCAUUAAGCGGAAGUAGGUAUCGCACUUCUAUAAGACCACUUGAUGGUCGAAAGUAGACAGGUAUAUCUCCGGUACACUGCUCUAAAACUAAGGCUGGAAAAGGUGUAAUUAAAACCAACAUUGCUCGACAAUAGAAGGUGUAUGGUGAUAUUGAAGCACCUAGCUGGACCGGGAACAAGCUCUUACGGUGUUUAAAGGAGAAAAGGUGUAAGGACGGAAGAGCGAUUUGUGUUAAAAUAAGGAUCAAGGCUGAACAUAAAUAAAGACUCUUGAAAACAUCAGUAAGCUUCACCAUUUGUCUGGCUGGGGUUCGCUACACCUCUGCUCUUGCUCAUUCUGAAGAACUGCAGUGGGUCGGUAAUGAGAAUUUGGGGAAACCUCCCCUGGCCUCCCAUCAUCGGUGAACUGGGAUGUUGUCAGAACGCACAGAGGGUGACCUUUAACUGCUGUUCCGACUGUAAACUGCCCUCACCCUCAACUGGUAAAAAUAAUUUCC